rnacentral:rRNA from 1 species
AGUGAACGCUGGCGGUAGGCCUAACACAUGCAAGUCGAACGGCAGCACAGUAAGAGCUUGCUCUUACGGGUGGCGAGUGGCGGACGGGUGAGGAAUACAUCGGAAUCUACUUUUUCGUGGGGGAUAACGUAGGGAAACUUACGCUAAUACCGCAUACGACCUACGGGUGAAAGCAGGGGAUCUUCGGACCUUUCGCGAUUGAAUGAGCCGAUGUCGGAUUAGCUAGUUGGCGGGGUAAAGGCCCACCAAGGCGACGAUCCGUAGCUGGUCUGAGAGGAUGAUCAGCCACACUGGAACUGAGACACGGUCCAGACUCCUACGGGAGGCAGCAGUGGGGAAUAUUGGACAAUGGGCGCAAGCCUGAUCCAGCCACACCGCGUGGGUGAAGAAGGCCUUCGGGUUGUAAAGCCCUUUUGUUGGGAAAGAAAAGCAGCAGGUUAAUACCCCGCUGUUCUGACGGUACCCAAAGAAUAAGCACCGGCUAACUUCGUG